rnacentral:tRNA from 1 species
AUUUAUGUAGUUUAAUAAAAACAUUACAUUUUCACUGUAAAAAUAAACCUAAUUUUCAUAAAUC